AGAGAUCUGCCACCCCUAACACUAUGAUUAUGAAGGUGGUUUUCCCAGGGUGAGGCGUAUCCAUUGUACUCCAGAUGUGCUGACCCCUGUGAUUUCUCCAAAUGUUGGAAACUCGACUGCAUAAUUUCUGGUAGUGGGGGACUGCUUUCAUGCUCUCCCUGA